UUGCAGUGAUGACUACUUAGGACACCUUUGCAUUGACCAUGAAAACACUGUAUCGUCUGAGCGGC